GAUGAACGCUGGCGGUAUGCCUAACACAUGCAAGUCGUACGAGGGUUUUUAACUCUAGUGGCGGACGGGUGAGUAACACGUGAGAAUUUGCCUUUAGGAGGGGGAUAACAAUCGGAAACGAAUGCUAAUACCCCAUAUGCUUUUGAGUGAAAUGGAUUUAUCCGCCUAAAGAGAAGCUCGCGGCUGAUUAGCUUGUUGGUAAGGUAAGAGCUUACCAAGGCGACGAUCAGUAUCUGGUUUGAGAGGACGAUCAGACACACUGGAACUGAGACACGGUCCAGACUCCUACGGGAGGCAGCAGUGGGGAAUUUUCCGCAAUGGGCGAAAGCCUGACGGAGCAAUACCGCGUGAGGGAAGAAUGCCUAUGGGUUGUAAACCUCUUUUUUCAGGGAGGAAUCAAAUGACGUGUACCUGAAGAAUAAGCAUCGGCUAACUCCGUG
rnacentral:rRNA from 1 species